GCAUCUAGCUAUCUAGGACCAUUAUCCUGUCCUUUCUUAUUCACCAUUGUGAGUGGCUGCAGAGGCCAAGCUGCAGGCCUGUCUUCACUGUGGGGUGUUGGCGGCAGCCGCUGAUGACUUGAUGUCUUCAGCAUUCUUUGUUUACUGAUAUGGCUUGCAGUAUUUUUUGUUCACAGAGGCCUACCUGUAGGGGCCAAUUCAGGUUUUAUGGGACCUGAAGCUUAGACAAUUUGGGGGCCCUCUUUAGGAAAAAGAAAAACAAAUUGCAAAUAUAAAAUCAGGUACCAAAAAAAAGUUGCUUAGAAUGUAAAAAAAUCACAAUAAAACACUUAAUAAUUUUACAAAUAUGUGAUCAUGUGAACCCAUUGCUAGGGCCCUACACAGAGGCAUCCCUGACCCUUAGCUGCCACUGAAGUCCCUCAGUCAGGUGUCAAACUACCUUGCAGGCUUCUCUGCCCUUACCGUGACCAUCCUGCAUCCCAGCCACAGGCUCUCCCUUGGCUGGACCCUAGCAGUGGGUUUAGUAGGGCUUUUAGGACUGUGGCAGCAAGCUUGGCCUGCCGGAUGAUCAAAUGGAAGUGUCAGAGUUAAUGCCUUUGGUUGGAAGCGGCCAUCAGCACUGAUAGACAGAGUUGGUGGCCAUUGGCUGUCAAGUAGGAUCACACCGAGACAUCUUCUUGGUGGUUCUUAGGGUGUGGUCCUACAGCACUUGGGAACCUGUUAGAAAUGCACACUCUCAGACCCCACCCUACACCUACAGAAUCAGAAACUCUGGGUGGUGGGGCUCAGCAACUGGUGUUUUGUGUUUUAACCACCCCUCUCACACAGCCUGAUGCACAAUCAAGUUUGAGAACCAUUCUACCUCACCGUUUCCCAGAGUUCCCUGUGGCCUGGAGUCCCCAUUGUCUACAAUGGUAACCAAUAACACCCCCCCCCUUUUUUUGUCUCCUUCCUUUGCUUGUCUCAUUUCCUUGUGCUUCAACUGGGGCUUCCUAGAUCAUCUCCAAUAAACUACCUGCACAUGAACCCUGGUCUAUCUGCUUCUAGAGGAACAUCAGUUCAGGGGAGGACAGGAGGAGUUCUCACUGCCCAGUGAGGCGGAGGAUGGUGGCUGGCACCCACUGGAGGCUGAAUGCUCUGUUCAAUGCUUUGCUUUCAUUGUCUCAGUCCCCACCCUACCCCUACAUGAGGAAAUUGGAGUUUGGAGGAUUUAAGUGGCUUUGAAGCCAAGGAUUUGAACCCAAAUCUGCUUGAGUCCCAAGGGUGAGCUCCUUACCUGCAAGAGCAGAGGCCCAGCCCACAUUAUGUGUGCCUGUCACUGCUGCUCUCCUCUGGGCAGGCACGAAUUCAGUUUUGUUGUGAGACAGGUUACACUCUGUGCCCUUUGAACACAGCCAGUGCAUCCACUGUGGGACGUGACAGCCUGAAAUAGUGGGUGUCACAGAGGGCACAGCAAGAGGGGUUCCUUCACUCCCAGUGCAAAGGUCCUUUUAUUCCAGCACCCUCAAGGCUGGUCCCUAUGCCCUCCAGCCCACAGCUGUGCCUUUAAUCCAGAGCUGGAGUCUUUCUAUCACAGAUACUGGAAAUCUGGCCAGCUCUGCAGCUGAGGGUGCUGCUUGGUGGAGGGGUGUGGGUGGGGGAGGGGAGGGGUGUGUGCAGACCCUGAACUCCUCUUCCUUUGUUAGAGGCCCUGGGUCGCUUGGUUCUGCUUCAGGAAACUAGUUUUCCCUCCCUUGUAACCCACCCCUCUAGGCUUAUACCCUUCUCGUUCUCUGGGCCCACAGCACCUGAGGCUCCCAGCUGUCUUUCUUGUUAGGGUUUAGGGUUAAUUUCUCCCCACUCCCCUUUCUUGUGAUCCAGGAAUGAUGGCUGUGUUAACAAAUCGGGGGUAGAUGGGGGACACUGACAAGAGUGGUUCUGCUGUUGACUUUGGGCAAGUCUUUUUUUAACCCCUCAGAGCCUUGUUUUUCUCAUCUGUAAAGUGAGGAGCCCUACUCCCCUCUCCCGAAGGUGUUCUAAUGAUGCUCACAGCAAGGUACACACAUGACACAGGCAUGAGCAGGAAUGGGUGAUUCUGCAACUAGGGCCUCCUGUUCCCUCCAUCACAACAACAAGGGACCUGGGGGCUGCUCUUCGGUUCUCUAGUAAAGACCCUGGUCUGCCAGAAACGUGCUGGUGAUGCCCAAAAUGUAAAGCUCUCUGCAGGACACUGCCAGCCCUCCCUUCAGGGUAGGAAGAGACAGAAAGAAUUACUUUGGCAAUCAUUCACGUAAGGAUGCCCCAAUGCCUCACCCUGCCAAAAACUGACCCCUGACUCCGCAGCUGAACUCAAGUCCCUCUACAAUAAUUUCUCAUCAUAUAUUUGCUUUUCCUUCCUGGCAAUUAUCGUGAGUUGUAAUUAUUUAUCUGCCUGUGUGUUUUUUUAAACCCCCUUUUUAAUGGAAAAUUGCAAACAGUUAGAAAAGGAAACAGAAGAGUACAUGGUCUUUGUGUACCCAUCACCCAGCUCAACAACUGCCAGCUCAGGGACAAUCUUUUUUUCACCUCUACCCACACUGACUCCCUCCUCCUUGUAUUAAUUUGAGGCACCAUAUCAUCUGUAAAUAUUGUGGUAUGUAUCUCUGAAUGAUUAGGGCUCUUUUAUAAAAUAUAACCAUAAUGGGGUUAUUAUGGUUAUUAUACUUAAAAAGAUGAACAAUAAUUCCUUGCUAUAUGACUAUUGUUAAAUGUCUGUAUCCCUCCACCAUGCUAGGGGCUUCAUGAGGGCUUUCUCUCUUUUCUUGGCUGUAUCCACACUGCCUGAGACCUAGCAGACGUUGGCAAGUGUUUGUUGGAUGGAUGGAUGGAUGGAGGAAUGGGAGACAGGCAAAGGAUGCUGGGGACCCACCUGCCCUCCUUUCUGUGGAUGCUGCCCCGUUCCUUCAGGACUGUGGCGUGAUUGCUGCCUUGGAGGCCCACUGUCACAUAUCCUCUCUGACAGGAGCAGCACCGCCAAGCUGGAGCCAGAGCUGUAAACCUCUCUCAGUUUCUUUCACUCCCGACUUGCCUUUGGCUUACUCAGGCAGCAAGUCCCUAAUCCUCUCCUCAUGGCUGCAGCCUGCUCCCCCCACGCAGCUAAUUCCACCUUCCGACUUAAUCAUCAUCCUUAGCGCUUUUAAUAAGGGGCUUUGCAUCUUCAGAGUCUCGCUCAGGCAUUAGCUGAUUACUGUAAUCUGUCCGACUCCCAAGGUGCCAGCUAGGAUGGCAGGGGAAGCACCGGGGCUUCCCUUAUCCUCUCAGAGCCUCGGUUUCUUCAUCUGUAAAAUUGGGUGAAUGGACCUAACUGGCAUCAGUAUAGGGAUUAAGUCAAAUGAAGUACAUAAAGUGCCUGUCCCCUGACACGUAAGAAGCAGUCAGUAAUGAUGACCAUUUCCCACUAAAACUCAAGGGAUAACUCUCACUGGAGAGCCAAACAGAUCUGGAUUUGAAUCCAGAUUCCUCUUCUUAAAGGGAAAAUUUCCGAGCCUCAAUUUUCUCAUCCUUAAAACGGAGGUGACGAUGCCUACCUCUCAGAGUUUGCUAAAAGGAUUAAAGGACAUGAUAUGUGUCUGAGAUGCACUGGGCUGAGUGCUGGGUGCCUAGUAAGUGCUAAAUAAGUGCUGGUGGCUAUUGCUCUUUCCAGAAGGAAACUGUGGUGCCCUCAGGAAGGUGCCGAUUAGGUCUUUUCUCCUCUGUUCCUUCAUGGUGUAUAGUCUAGGGAAGCCUAUUGCACUCCGCAUUGUAUCCCUGGCCCUUUGCCUGGCUGUGUGUUCAAUAAAUGAAUAAGUGAAUGGAGUUGGUGACGUGGGUCUGGGAAUAAUGCAUCUGAACAGGACUGGAUAUUAGAGGACUUUCAAGAUCUUUAUCGCACAACCAGAGAAAUUAAGCAGGUCAGGGAUUAUGUCUUACAUGUUACAGAUGAGGAAAUCGAGGUAAACACAUUAAACUUGUAAGGUUAACAGCUGGAGCUACUCCCAUGCCAGUUUGAACGUGCCAAGAAGAGUAUGCCUUGCAUUGGCCUCCAGAAGAGCUGGGCCCCUGUCUCAGCUGGAGUUACAGGUCUUCCUGAGAUUUUCUAAAGCUGCAGGGUUUCUGCGUGCUCUGCCUUCUUCCUCCUACUGUGCCUGGUGUGGGGCUGUAUCCCAGUGCACUUGUUUUGUUUUGCUUUGUCUUUUUCUGCUUAUCUUCAUUAGGUAAGUUGUUUCCCUCUUUUUUUUCUUUUUUAAAAAAUUGAGGUAUAAUUGACAUACAGGUGCACUUGUUUUUAAUUACUGACAGUUUCAACUUUAGAGCUGCCAUGAACAGCCACUGAGGUUGUACACUGUGCAGCUCCAGGGGGACAAAUGUCAUUCAUCAUGGUUGCAUUGACUCACCAAGAGUUAAGUCCCACUGUGAAGUGGGAGGUGACCUUAGGAGGAGGUGGGGGGCCUCCCCAUGCACUGGCUGAACUUGGGCCAGGAACACUGCUCCAGGAACUAGGGCUCCUGGGCACUCCUGAUCUGUGCUGGCGGGCAGGGUCCACGUUCAGAGUGGACUCAUCUAGAGGCUGACCUCCAUUAGGGAGAAGGGCAGUAGAGCCCGAGGAACUGAACCCUAGCUUUAAAACUUGAGGUAGUUAAGGAAAGGGAGCAGCUUUGAACCAGGUACUUUAUAUACUAUAUUACAUUUUUAAGUAGUAAUUUAAUUUUGAUAAUAAAGCUCUUUGAAUAGGCAUCAUUCACCCCUUUUACAGAUGACUUAACUGGGCACACGGAAGUUAAUUAACAUGCCCAAAGCAUCACACAGCAAGGAAGUGGCAGAGUUGAGAUUCAAACUCAAGCCUGCCUGACUUCGGGACCUGCUGUGUUAUCUCUGGUUGUAACCUGUGUUUUUAAAGGGAGGUAGCUGACGUCUAGAGAGGGGCAGUGACCUACCCAGGGUCACACAGCCAGCUAGUGGCUGAGCAGAUACUGAACCCAAAAGUCUAGAUUCUCAGUCCCAAAAUAAACCCAUAAGGGUGCCUGGCCCAUUAAUUAAUAUUUGUGACAGAAACAAGUCUAGAGAGAGACCUAAGAUGGCUGGGGACAAGAGAGCUAGGGGACAGGAGAGCUGAGGGAUGGGCAUAUGUGGAGCAGAGGGUGAAGGACAGGCACGAACCCUCCACAUUUUUGGCCUGGGUCUCGGAGAGGAGACCCGUAUUUCCUCCAUUGCCAGACUGGAGGUGGAGCCCGUAGGGUGAGAGGUGGUGUGCAGCACUCGACCUCUAGGUGGCGCCCAUACUGCAGAUCUGGACUCCCGUGGGCCACAGGGCCAGAGGGAACUGGUCUGUCCCUGGGGACUGGUCUGUCCAGAGUUUUCAGGAUGCCCCUGGUCAACAGCUCCUGUCUUCUGCCCCAGGUCACUUCUGCUCCGGCUUUGGCAGCGAAGGGGUGGCAGGGCUGGGACUGGGAGCUCAUAUCUCAACCUGGUCUUCCCUUGCAAGCCCUCUGCAGGGCCCUGGAUAAAAACCUCCAAAGGGAAUUGGGGAUCAUCCUGAUACUCCCAUCUACUCGAACUUCAGCAGUUUGCUCCACCUCUUUGAGCCUCACUUUCCUUAUCUAUAGAGUGGAAAUGGGUUUUAUUGUCAGGAUAUUGAGAGGAUCAGAUGGAACAUUUUAUAAAAUGCCUGGCCCAGUGCAGGUGUUCAACAGAUGGGAACUAUUAGGACUGUUCUGCGGACAGUGGCUGCCUGUUGUUACUUCUGCCUGACUGCUAUUUCUCCUUUGUCUUUCCCACUUUGCAGUGCCAGUCCAUCACACCACACCUUACUCAUCACCAUCAACCUCUUACCCGGCCCCUGUGGACCUGGUACCUCCUUGGAGACAAAGUAGAAUGGUUUUGCAGAACAUGGAUUCCCUGUUGCAACUCCUUAGUUCUGCAGUAGUACUGUGAAAGGAGCCAUAACCAGAUGGGCAUGUGUGUGUGUGUUCCACUAAAACUUUUUUAACAAACAUGUGGGAAAAGAUGGGUUUGACCUGAAAGCUGCAGUUUGCUGUUCCUAGUUGAGAAGUUUCUGGCACAUAGGUGAUGAUAAA